rnacentral:rRNA from 2 species
ACGGGAGGCAGCAGUGGGGAAUAUUGCACAAUGGGGGAAACCCUGAUGCAGCGACGCCGCGUGGAGGAAGAAGGUCUUCGGAUUGUAAACUCCUGUUGUUGGGGAAGAUAAUGACGGUACCCAACAAGGAAGUGACGGCUAACUACGUGCCAGCAGCCGCGGUAAAACGUAGGUCACAAGCGUUGUCCGGAAUUACUGGGUGUAAAGGGAGCGCAGGCGGGAAGACAAGUUGGAAGUGAAAUCUAUGGGCUCAACCCAUAAACUGCUUUCAAAACUGUUUUUCUUGAGUAGUGCAGAGGUAGGCGGAAUUCCCGGUGUAGCGGUGGAAUGCGUAGAUAUCGGGAGGAACACCAGUGGCGAAGGCGGCCUACUGGGCACCAACUGACGCUGAGGCUCGAAAGUGUGGGUAGCAAACAGGAUUAGAUACCCUGGUA